rnacentral:rRNA from 1 species
CUGGUUCAGAACGAACGCUGGCGGCGUGCUUAACACAUGCAAGUCGAACGCGAAAGGGACUUCGGUCCUGAGUAAAGUGGCGCACGGGUGAGUAACGCGUAGAUAACCUGUCUUCAUGUCUGGAAUAAUACGCCGAAAGGGGUACUAAUACCGGAUAUUCUUGCUUUUUCAUAAGUUAUGCAAGCAAAGGUGGCCUCUGCAUAUGCUACUGCAUGAAGAGGGGUCUGCGUACCAUUAGCUAGUAGGUGGGGUAAUGGCCUACCUAGGCGACGAUGGUUAGCGGGUCUGAGAGGAUGAUCCGCCACACUGGCACUGGAACACGGGCCAGACUCCUACGGGAGGCAGCAGUGAGGAAUAUUGCGCAAUGGGGGAAACCCUGACGCAGCGACGCCGCGUGAGUGAGGAAGGCCUUCGGGUCGUAAAGCUCUGUCAAGAGGAAAGAAGUGUACAAUGGCUAAUACCUGUUGUAUUUGACGGUACCUCUAAAGGAAGCACCGGCUAACUCCGUGCCAGCCGCGGC